rnacentral:rRNA from 1 species
UACGUAGGUGGCAAGCGUUGUCCGGAUUUAUUGGGUUUAAAGGGUGCGUAGGCGGUCUAUUAAGUCAGUUGUGAAAUACGGCAGCUCAACUGUCGAGGUGCAAUUGAUACUGAUGGACUUGAGUACUGACGAGGUAAGCGGAAUGGACGGUGUAGCGGUGAAAUGCUUAGAUAUCGUCCAGAACACCGAUAGCGAAGGCAGCUUACUAAGGAGUAACUGACGCUGAGGCACGAAAGUGUGGGGAUCAAACAGG